GGUCAUUUCAGUUUAUUUUAUCAUGAAUUCUUUUGCAACAAACGGUCAAGCACACGAUUUAUCAAAGUACAGUUUUUCAUUCAAGGACCUUGACCGUACAACACAUCGUGGAGACAAAUGUUGAGUAGAGGAAGGUCAAAAUCCAUGUCAGCCACUCCUGUGAGAAUCUCAUGUAAAAAGCAAUCAUGCACGUGUUACAUUGGAAGAAAGAAACGUUUUCAGUAGGGGACUUUUCUUUUAAAAAAUCAUUUUACUGCAAACCCAAUGCAGCUCAAUCACCUCAUCUGUACAAACAUCAGUGACAGAGCCCAAACGCUUGAGACUGUAAAGAUCACGUUGGCAGUAGAAGCUUCAUUCAAAAGCUCAGCUUGCCUCAAAAUGAAGAGUUGAGGUUCUUAAGACAUCAAGGUGUUCGUUUUUUCGUAGAAAAAUGGCUGUGUUUUUCAUGUCUGGAAUGCUCUAAGAGGAGAUUUUAGUGUGCGUGAGACUCAUAACGUGCAGGAGAAAAAACAUCUCAAAUCAUCUAAAGUAAUUGCUCCACUACCACUAAACGAGCCGAGGAAGACGUGCAGUUACUGCUGAACAUGAAUACUGAGUGUGACAUACAAAAGACGGACAACAGAAGGCAGACACGUCUUAGAAACGGUGAUCUAAAAAUACAGUUUGGCAAUAGAUCACCAGGGGGAGUGUAGAAAAAUGCCCACUCAUGAGAUCCUCAGAUAGUGUCGAUUGAUCACGAUGCUGUAAAAACGUAAGAAAUAUUAGCCGUCAAGUUUAUUUUCAUCCGCUGGCGGAGUAGUAGAUUCAUAAAACGUUAUAAAUGCACUCAUUUUGGUUCAUCUGAUAAGCAAACAAUGUGCUAAAAGGGCUUCAGAAAGGUGAAAAAGCAAACGAUAACAAACUAGAAAAGUUUCUAGAAGGAAGAAGCACAGGUUGUGCUGCAUAGAAACUACCAAAGUCAAUGAUUGCAAAGCCUGUGAGGGACGUUUGCAGGUUUAAGUCCCUCUACGUCUCUAAAUUCAGAGCACUUUAAACAGUGGUCAAUACACAUAAAACAACAUUGAAAUGGAGACUCGACGCUUGUUUCUUCACUUUUCGCUUUUCUUCAGAAAAAUAUGGGAAGCCCUCAAUCAUUUCCGGAAAUAGAUGUUCUUAACCAGCCAUUUGAUUCACCCUCGCAAAUAUACAUUUGUACAUUUUUGGUAUGUAUAUCUUCUGAAAAGGAAUAUAUUUAAAUAUCCAGAAUAUUUACAGACUGAUGAAACUAUCUUACGCCUGUCUACAGACAGUAAUAUCCUCAUCUAACACUCGCAGAAAGAGUCUUGAUGCUAGAAUGUGUCUCUGCUGUACAAACAGAAAAAUCAACAAACAUAAAUGGGUGACAUGCAUGUCAUAUUUCAAAGAAAUGUGGAAAAAAAAAAUGUCAUUUUAUAUUUUAAUAUUUUCUAAAUUGAAUUAUUAAU
ensembl:lncRNA